rnacentral:rRNA from 1 species
GGUUAAGCGACUAAGCGUACACGGUGGAUGCCCUGGCAGUCAGAGGCGAUGAAGGACGUGCUAAUCUGCGAAAAGCGCCGGCGAGGUGAUAUGAACCUUUGACCCGGCGAUGUCCGAAUGGGGAAACCCAGUGCAAUCCGUUGCACUAUCGUUAACUGAAUACAUAGGUUAACGAGGCGAACCGGGGGAACUGAAACAUCUAAGUACCCCGAGGAAAAGAAAUCAACCGAGAUUCCCCCAGUAGCGGCGAGCGAACGGGGAGCAGCCCGGAGUCUGAAUCAGCUUGUGUGUUAGUGGAACGGUCUGGAAAGUCCGACGGUACAGGGUGAUAGUCCCGUACACGAAAGCACACUUGCUGUGAACUCGAAGAGUAGGGCGGGACACGUGGUAUCCUGUCUGAAUAUGGGGGGACCAUCCUCCAAGGCUAAAUACUCCUGACUGACCGAUAGUGAACCAGUACCGUGAGGGAAAGGCGAAAAGAACCCCGGCGAGGGGAGUGAAAAAGAACCUGAAACCGUGUACGUACAAGCAGUGGGAGCCUCUUUAUGGGGUGACUGCGUACCUUUUGUAUAAUGGGUCAGCGACUUAUAUUCUGUAGCAAGGUUAACCGUAUAGGGGAGCCGAAGGGAAACCGAGUCUUAACUGGGCGUUAAGUUGCAGGGUAUAGACCCGAAACCCGGUGAUCUAGCCAUGGGCAGGUUGAAGGUUGGGUAACACUAACUGGAGGACCGAACCGACUAAUGUUGAAAAAUUAGCGGAUGACCUGUGGCUGGGGGUGAAAGGCCAAUCAAACCGGGAGAUAGCUGGUUCUCCCCGAAAGCUAUUUAGGUAGCGCCUCGUGAACUCAUCUUCGGGGGUAGAGCACUGUUUCGGCUAGGGGGCCAUCCCGGCUUACCAACCCGAUGCAAACUACGAAUACCGAAGAAUGUUAUCACGGGAGACACACGGCGGGUGCUAACGUCCGUCGUGAAGAGGGAAACAACCCAGAGACCGCCAGCUAAGGUCCCAAAGUCAUGGUUAAGUGGGAAACGAUGUGGGAAGGCACAGACAGCCAGGAUGUUGGCUUAGAAGCAGCCAUCAUUUAAAGAAAGCGUAAUAGCUCACUGGUCGAGUCGGCCUGCGCGGAAGAUGUAACGGGGCUAAACCAUGCACCGAAGCUGCGGCAGCGACACUAUGUGUUGUUGGGUAGGGGAGCGUUCUGUAAGCCGUUGAAGGUGUGCUGUGAGGCAUGCUGGAGGUAUCAGAAGUGCGAAUGCUGACAUAAGUAACGAUAAAGCGGGUGAAAAGCCCGCUCGCCGGAAGACCAAGGGUUCCUGUCCAACGUUAAUCGGGGCAGGGUGAGUCGACCCCUAAGGCGAGGCCGAAAGGCGUAGUCGAUGGGAAACAGGUUAAUAUUCCUGUACUUGGUGUUACUGCGAAGGGGGGACGGAGAAGGCUAUGUCAGCCGGGCGACGGUUGUCCCGGUUUAAGCAUGUAGGCGGAGGUUCCAGGUAAAUCCGGUACCUUUUAACGCUGAGGUGUGAUGACGAGGCACUACGGUGCUGAAGUGAUAAAUGCCCUGCUUCCAGGAAAAGCCUCUAAGCAUCAGGUAACACGAAAUCGUACCCCAAACCGACACAGGUGGUCAGGUAGAGAAUACCAAGGCGCUUGAGAGAACUCGGGUGAAGGAACUAGGCAAAAUGGUGCCGUAACUUCGGGAGAAGGCACGCUGAUGUGUAGGUGAAGCCCCUGCGGGUGGAGCUGAAAUCAGUCGAAGAUACCAGCUGGCUGCAACUGUUUAUUAAAAACACAGCACUGUGCAAACACGAAAGUGGACGUAUACGGUGUGACGCCUGCCCGGUGCCGGAAGGUUAAUUGAUGGGGUUAGCGGCAACGCGAAGCUCUUGAUCGAAGCCCCGGUAAACGGCGGCCGUAACUAUAACGGUCCUAAGGUAGCGAAAUUCCUUGUCGGGUAAGUUCCGACCUGCACGAAUGGCGUAAUGAUGGCCAGGCUGUCUCCACCCGAGACUCAGUGAAAUUGAACUCGCUGUGAAGAUGCAGUGUACCCGCGGCAAGACGGAAAGACCCCGUGAACCUUUACUAUAGCUUGACACUGAACACUGGUCCUUGAUGUGUAGGAUAGGUGGGAGGCUUUGAAGCGUGGACGCCAGUCUGCGUGGAGCCAACCUUGAAAUACCACCCUUUAAUGGCUGGUGUUCUAACGUAGACCCGUAAUCCGGGUUGCGGACAGUGUCUGGUGGGUAGUUUGACUGGGGCGGUCUCCUCCCAAAGAGUAACGGAGGAGCACGAAGGUUGGCUAAUCCUGGUCGGACAUCAGGAGGUUAGUGCAAUGGCAUAAGCCAGCUUGACUGCGAGCGUGACGGCGCGAGCAGGUGCGAAAGCAGGUCAUAGUGAUCCGGUGGUUCUGAAUGGAAGGGCCAUCGCUCAACGGAUAAAAGGUACUCCGGGGAUAACAGGCUGAUACCGCCCAAGAGUUCAUAUCGACGGCGGUGUUUGGCACCUCGAUGUCGGCUCAUCACAUCCUGGGGCUGAAGUAGGUCCCAAGGGUAUGGCUGUUCGCCAUUUAAAGUGGUACGCGAGCUGGGUUUAGAACGUCGUGAGACAGUUCGGUCCCUAUCUGCCGUGGGCGCUGGAGAAUUGAGGGGGCUGCUCCUAGUACGAGAGGACCGGAGUGGACGCAUCACUGGUGUUCGGGUUGUCAUGCCAAUGGCACUGCCCGGUAGCUAAAUGCGGAAGAGAUAAGUGCUGAAAGCAUCUAAGCACGAAACUUGCCCCGAGAUGAGUUCUCCCUGAGACCUUGAGUCUCCUGAAGGAACGUUGAAGACGACGACGUUGAUAGGUCGGGUGUGUAAGCGCAGCGAUGCGUUGAGCUAACCGAUACUAAUGAACCGUGAGGCUUAACCUU